rnacentral:antisense_RNA from 1 species
CUGGCGGCAGCGCUCUUCGGUCAGCGUCAGGCAGACCAGCCCGCGGGCGUGCGUGACCAUGAAAUUGAUGGCGGCCGGUGUGACGUAUUCGGCGGCCAGCACCA